rnacentral:rRNA from 1 species
GUAAACGAUGUCGACUUGGAGGUUGUGCCCUUGAGGCGUGGCUUCCGGAGCUAACGCGUUAAGUCGACCGCCUGGGGAGUACGGCCGCAAGGUUAAAACUCAAAUGAAUUGACGGGGGCCCGCACAAGCGGUGGAGCAUGUGGUUUAAUUCGAUGCAACGCGAAGAACCUUACCUGGUCUUGACAUCCACAGAACUUUCCAGAGAUGGAUUGGUGCCUUCGGGAACUGUGAGACAGGUGCUGCAUGGCUGUCGUCAGCUCGUGUUGUGAAAUGUUGGGUUAAGUCCCGCAACGAGCGCAACCCUUAUCCUUUGUUGCCAGCGGUCCGGCCGGGAACUCAAAGGAGACUGCCAGUGAUAAACUGGAGGAAGGUGGGGAUGACGUCAAGUCAUCAUGGCCCUUACGACCAGGGCUACACACGUGCUACAAUGGCGCAUACAAAGAGAAGCGACCUCGCGAGAGCAAGCGGACCUCAUAAAGUGCGUCGUAGUCCGGAUUGGAGUCUGCAACUCGACUCCAUGAAGUCGGAAUCGCUAGUAAUCGUGGAUCAGAAUGCCACGGUGAAUACGUUCCCGGGCCUUGUACACACCGCCCGUCACACCAUGGGAGUGGGUUGCAAAAGAAGUAGGUAGCUUAACCUUCGGGAGGGCGCUUACCACUUUGUGAUUCAUGACUGGGGUG